AUUGAACGCUGGCGGCAUGCCUUACACAUGCAAGUCGAACGGCAGCACGGGUGCUUGCACCUGGUGGCGAGUGGCGAACGGGUGAGUAAUACAUCGGAACAUGUCCUGUAGUGGGGGAUAGCCCGGCGAAAGCCGGAUUAAUACCGCAUACGAUCCACGGAUGAAAGCGGGGGACCUUCGGGCCUCGCGCUAUAGGGUUGGCCGAUGGCUGAUUAGCUAGUUGGUGGGGUAAAGGCCUACCAAGGCGACGAUCAGUAGCUGGUCUGAGAGGACGACCAGCCACACUGGGACUGAGACACGGCCAAGACUCCUACGGGAGGCAGCAGUGGGGAAUUUUGGACAAUGGGCGAAAGCCUGAUCCAGCAAUGCCGCGUGUGUGAAGAAGGCCUUCGGGUUGUAAAGCACUUUUGUCCGGAAAGAAAUCCUUGACUCUAAUACAGUCGGGGGAUGACGGUACCGGAAGAAUAAGCACCGGCUAACUACGUG
rnacentral:rRNA from 1 species